GAGCAUAUGUCGUGAGCCUCCCCAGCCAGAGGGAAAACUCUGUCUGGGCGCUUUGAAUCAAUUCUAAAUAUUCGGGGAGACAAAUCCUUUGCAGACGACUUAAAUACGGAACGGGGUAUUGUAAGUAGCAGAGUAGCCUUGCUGCUACGAUCUACUGAGAUUCAGCCUCUUGUUCCUGGCAUUUGU
rnacentral:ncRNA from 1 species